GCUCAGUCAGGAAUCCAUUGGCUCAGUCAGCAGAGCAUAAGACUUCUAAUCUUACGUUCGUGGGUUCAAGCCCCACAUUGAACA